rnacentral:rRNA from 1 species
GACGAACGCUGGCGGCGUGCUUAAAACAUGCAAGUCGAACGGGGUCCAACCAGUCGCAAGACUGGGGAAGACCUAGUGGCGAACGGGUGCGUAACACGUGAGGAACCUGCCCCGGAGACCGGGAUAACCCUCCGAAAGGAGAGCUAAUACUGGAUGUGCUCACCGAGUCGCAUGGCUUGGUGAGGAAAUGGAUUCCGCUUCGGGAUGGUCUCGCGGCCUAUCAGCUCGUUGGUGGGGUAACGGCUCACCAAGGCGACGACGGGUAGCUGGUCUGAGAGGACUAUCAGCCACACUGGGACUGAGACACGGCCCAGACUCCUACGGGAGGCAGCAGUUAGGAAUCUUGCGCAAUGGGCGAAAGCCUGACGCAGCAACGCCGCGUGGGGGAUGAAGGCUCUCGGGUUGUAAACCCCUUUCAGCAGGGACGAUUGUGACGGUACCUGCAGAAGAAGGACCGGUCAACUACGUGCCAGCAGCCGCGGUAAUACGUAGGGUCCGAGCGUGUCCGGUA